UACAGAGGGUGCGAGCGUUAAUCGGAAUUACUGGGCGUAAAGGGUGCGUAGGUGGUUUUGUAAGUUAGAUGUGAAAUUCCUGGGCUUAACCUGGGGACUGCGUCUGAUACUGCGAAGCUAGAGUACUGUAGAGGGAAGUGGAAUUUCCGGUGUAGCAGUGAAAUGCGUAGAUAUCUGGAGGAACACCGGUGGCGAAGGCGGCAUCCUGGAUCAACAC
rnacentral:rRNA from 1 species